rnacentral:sRNA from 1 species
GUGAUAGGAGCGGCAUCCUUUUUGUUGCUUCUUUGCAACAAAAAGAUAUAGCGGAUAGCACGACCUAUU